CAAAAAUCCUCUGAAAACUAAGAAACCCAAAUCAUAACUCAAACCAAACCAAAAUCCUCUACACAUACAUCCCGACACCUCAAAACACACCCCUCCUUCCGGUGAAUACCUGCCAACACGUUCACUCUCUCUGGGUCCGAGCUCCGACGAGUAGUUCCGAUGGCCAAUGAUGACCGUGUUGCUGUUGUUGACGGUACUCAGCGCCGACUGUGGGCUUUUUGCAGCGGCCAAGCUGCCACACACGACGGCCGGCGACGAUUUUCGCUCCGACGAACCCUCGACAGACCCCGCUGGGCCCCGCUGAUGAUGGAUAUGCUGAUAUAUGACGACGGUGGGACGGUGAUGACGAGAGACCGAGGAACAGGAAUAUAAAGGGUGUUUAGGAUAGUUGAGCAUAUUAUGGUUUUGAUUUGGUAUACAAAGGAAUACAAAGGAAUAUAAAGUGUGAUUUGGGGUGGCUGCGGCGGCGAGCAGAGAGAACAGCAGCAGCAACACCGUGGGGCUCCGACAGGUGCUGGACGUCGGCGACGAAGCAGAGACGACAUCAAAAACCUCGUUCAUCUCAUAGGUCAGUUGAGUUCAUCGGUGUUUAUUUUGAAUUCAUGUAAUUUUUUGGAGGUUUUGAGUGAAUGAAUUUGAUAACUGUAUCAGUGAUGUUUAACU